GGUUCAGUAGCUCAGCUGGAUAGAGCAACGGCCUUCUAAGCCGUAGGUCGUGGGUUCGAAUCCCGCCUGAAUCACAA
rnacentral:tRNA from 3 species